CAAGGCGACGAUCCCUAGCUGGUCUGAGAGGAUGACCAGCCACACUGGAACUGAGACACGGUCCAGACUCCUACGGGAGGCAGCAGUGGGGAAUAUUGCACAAUGGGCGCAAGCCUGAUGCAGCCAUGCCGCGUGUAUGAAGAAGGCCUUCGGGUUGUAAAGUACUUUCAGCGGGGAGGAAGGUGUUGUGGUUAAUAACCGCAGCAAUUGACGUUACCCGCAGAAGAAGCACCGGCUAACUCCGUGCCAGCAGCCGCGGUAAUACGGAGGGUGCAAGCGUUAAUCGGAAUUACUGGGCGUAAAGCGCACGCAGGCGGUCUGUCAAGUCGGAUGUGAAAUCCCCGGGCUCAACCUGGGAACUGCAUUCGAAACUGGCAGGCUUGAGUCUUGUAGAGGGGGGUAGAAUUCCAGGUGUAGCGGUGAAAUGCGUAGAGAUCUGGAGGAAUACCGGUGGCGAAGGCGGCCCCCUGGACAAAGACUGACGCUC
rnacentral:rRNA from 1 species